CCCUUAGACGUUCUGGGCCGCACGCGCGCUACACUGACCAGUGCAACAAGCAUCCGUCCUUGGCCGACAGGCCCGGGCAAUCUUUGAACGCUGGUCGUGAUGGGGAUAGACUUUUGCAAUUUUUGGUCUUCAACGAGGAAUUCCUAGUAAACGCAAGUCAUCAACUUGCAUUGAUUACGUCCCUGCCCUUUGUACACACCGCCCGUCACACCUACCGAUUGAAUGGUCCGGUGAAGCCUCCGGAUUGGCGCGCACCUCGGUGCCGCCGAGAAGUUGGCUAAACCUUACCAUUUAGAGGAAGGUGAANUCGUANCA
rnacentral:rRNA from 1 species